UAGGGAAUUUUGCACAAUGGGCGCAAGCCUGAUGCAGCAACGCCGCGUGAGUGAAGAAGGCUCUUGGGUUGUAAAGCUCUUUCGGCUGGAAAGAAGGGGUUGCCUGCGAAUAGUUGGCAGCUCUGACGGUACCAGAAGAAGAAGCACCUGCUAACUUCGUGCCAGCAGCAGCGGUAAUACGAAGGGUGCAAGCGUUGUUCGGAAUUAUUGGGCGUAAAGCGCGCGUAGGCGGGUUGGUAAGUCGAUUGUGAAAGCCCUGGGCUUAACCUGGGAACUGCAGUCGAAACUACCGAUCUUGAGUGCCUGAGAGGAUGGCGGAAUUCCCGGUGUAGUAGUGAAAUACGUAGAUAUCGGGAGGAACACCUGAGGCGAAGGCGGCUAUCUGGCGGUGCACUGACGC
rnacentral:rRNA from 1 species